UCGGUGCCGAAGCAAACGCGUUAAGUACCCCGCCUGGGGAGUACGAUCGCAAGGUUGAAACUCAAAGGAAUUGACGGGGGCCCGCACAAGCGGUGGAGCAUGUGGUUUAAUUCGAUGCAACGCGAAGAACCUUACCUGGGCUUGAACCGCAAUUUGACGUAUGAUAGAGACAUCAUAUUCUGAGCAAUCAGCAGGUUGUAGAGGUGCUGCAUGGCUGUCGUCAGCUCGUGUCGUGAGAUGUUGGGUUAAGUCCCGCAACGAGCGCAACCCUUAUCAUUAGUUGCCAGCGCGUAAUGGCGGGGACUCUAAUGAGACUGCCCGGGUUAACCGGGAGGAAGGUGGGGAUGACGUCAAGUCCUCAUGGCCCUUAUGUCCAGGGCUACACACGUGCUACAAUGGGCGGUACAGAGCGCAGCUACACAGUGAUGUGAUGCGAAUCGCAAAAACCGUUCUCAGUUCGGAUCGCAGUCUGCAACUCGACUGCGUGAAGUUGGAAUCGCUAGUAAUCGCGGAACAGCAUGCCGCGGUGAAUACGUUCCCGGGCCUUAUACACACCGCCCGUCACACCAUGGAAGUUGAUAGUGCUCGAAGUAACCGGUCUAACCAGCAAUGGAGGAAAGUUACUAAGGCAAGAUUGAUAACUGGGGUGAAGUCGUAACAAGGUA
rnacentral:rRNA from 1 species